UACAGAGGUCCCGAGCGUUGUUCGGAUUCACUGGGCGUAAAGGGUGCGUAGGUGGCGAGGUAAGUCGGAUGUGAAAGCUCGGAGCUCAACUCCGAAAUGGCAUUGGAAACUACCUUGCUCGAGGGUUGGAGGGGGGACUGGAAUACUUGGUGUAGCAGUGAAAUGCGUAGAUAUCAAGUGGAACACCAGUGGCGAAGGCGAGUCCCUGGACAACUCCUGACGCUCAUGCACGAAAGCGUGGGGAGCAAACAGG
rnacentral:rRNA from 1 species